CCCCCCCGGCCGGCGGGGAGCCGCGAGGAGCCCGAGGCCCUGGCAACGGGUGCACGCGCCGCCGCGGCUGUCACUCAAAGUGUCGCAAGUCGCUGCGCCCCGUUUGCAACAGGGGGGAGACUUUAUACCGAGAGAGGGAAUGAGCAGCCACAGUGAGCACGUCCUCCAGCAGCUCUGCUCACAGCUCGAGUACGGCUUCCUCUGUGACUGCUCCAUCGCGGUGGGUGACGUGCGGUUCCGGGCUCACCGGGUGGUGCUGGCGGCCUGCAGCUCGUACUUCCACAAGCUCUUCGUCAACCAGCCGGCGGAGUCUUCGCUGGUGGCCCUCAGCCCUCAGGCCGUCAGCCCCGACCACUUCGACCUGAUCCUGCAGCUGAUGUACACCGGCCGCCUGGGGUCGCCGCCGGCCGACCCCGAGCGCUUCCACGCCUCCCUCAGGUUCCUCAAGCUCUACAACGCGGGCCGCUUCCUGCCGCCAGGGGAUCGGAAUGCUGAGGAGGCCUCGCUCCUGGCCUCGACCAAGCCGCUGGUCUUUGGUGUGCAGCUAUACCCGGAGCGGGCAGCCAGCGAGAGCCUGGGGCCUGCCAACGAGAGCCUGGGGCCUGCCAACGAGAGCCUGGGGCCUACCAACGAGAGCCUGGGGCCUGCCAGCGUGAGCUUGGGGACAGCCACGUGCUCCCAGGUCCCGGUGGCGGUCAAGGCGGAAAACCCCGAAGAGGCGUCGGACCAACGGGCCGGCCUGGGAUCUGUGGAGGAGGAGCAGCCGCACGCUGACAAGGAACACCCGCGGCCGCAGGCCGAGUGUCCUUUCUUCUGCCCGCUCUGCGGCCUGGCCUUCGAGCGGGCCCAGAGGCUGCAGGAUCAUCUCAGCAGCUGCUGCAGUGGCCCAUUCCAGCACGAGCCUGCCAUCAAGCGGGAGGAGGAGGAGGCCGAGAGGCCCAGCCUGGAUGGCAGGCCUCGUGAGGGAGGGCACGCGGAGGCCGAGGAGGGAGGCUGCAGGCCCUGGGCCCCCGAGGGUGAGGACUAUGAACUGGAGGAGGGUGAGGUGCGCUUCCCUGGCGAUGAUGACCUGGUCCUGGAGAAUGCCACCGACGACUCCUUCAGCAGCACUGAGAGCAGCCUAGAGGGUGACGGCGAGGGCUCAGGCCGGUCAGAACCAAGCGAGGAAGAAGCAGGAGGCGGCGGGCCUAGCGAGGCCUCCCUCUCGUCCCUGGGGCUCGGCCGCAGCCCCUGUCAAGCGGCCCGGCGCAGGGGCAAGGCCUGGUCGUGCCAGGCCUGUGAGGGGUGCUGCCUGGCCGAGGAGCGGAGCUGGGGUCGGAGCUGCAAGAAGAAACGGCUUAAGAGGAGGAGCAAGGAAGGCGAGGAGCCAGCGGCCGCCCCUUCCGCCCUGCUGCAGGAGGCCGAGAGGCCACAGCCGGCGCCCAAGCUGGUGCAGGGCCCGGGGGAGCUGGCGGCGGCUCGCGGCCUGAGCGAGCGGCUGGCCUGCCCGGCCUACGCGCGGGCCUUCCCCUGGGAGCUGCGGAUGCAGCUGGCCGGCCGUGCGGAGGGCGUGGUGGGGGGCGCCCGCUUCGGGUGCACCAUAUGCGGGUACCGCAGCCGACGCAAGCACGCACACCUGCGGCACCUGGCCUCGCACCUGUUGCCGGGCCAGGCCGUCUGCCAGGUCUGCUUCGAGAUCGUGGGCAGCAAGGGCGACCUGCAGCAACACCUGGAAAGCCACCUGUACUCCUGCGGCGUCUGUGGCCAGAAGUUCCGGCUCAAGAAGGACAUGGUUGCCCACGCCAACAGCUGCUGGUCCAGGAAGCUACACGGGAGGGUGGGCAGGUUUGGCUCCAAGAGCAAGAAUUGAUGCCAAAGGGGAAUUGCCAAGGACACUGCCUUCGGGCAGGGGCCCCGGACGUUGAGAUCUGGAGCGCAGGCGAAACUUCCAGAAGGAUUCGCCGGGUCGGGCAGCGUCCACGGAGAGAAAUGGACACCCAACGUUUUGGGUCAAGCCCUCCAUGUGGACUUUGGGGACUUAGCAGGUCGAGCGGUGUCCGUGGUAGGAAUUGGGACGGUUGACGUGCUGAGUCAAGAACGUGGCCACGAACUUAUCAAUCACUCCUGCUGUGGACCGCUUCUGGAGGUCCAAGACGGUGACCUCUACAAAGAAGGGAUCCGUAUGCUCCACGACCGCUGGACUAAGUGUGUAAGUGUAGGAAAAAUAAAUGUGCUAGGUUUUCGAAAAUUGACUCCUUCUACCGCAGGCCAUGAUCUUAUCAAUCACUCCUUGUACUGUGUGAAAUAUAGAACUGAAACUGUUCAGAUGAAAAGGCAAUAGUCUGGAAAAGUUUCUGCUCUCGUUCCUUGAUGGAGCAGGAUUAUCAAGAGCUUUAUUGUCUGCGAGCGGUACACUAUUUGGAAGUGCCAUGUUUUUUUAAAAACAGAACUCCUUACCCCUAAGCUCCACCUGCCAGCCCGGGUGGAUAUAAAUGCCACGGCCCCCAGUUUGAAGAAGGGAGCAGUCCUCCCACGAUGUCUGGUUAGUGUCCAUUCCUUGACCAGUUACUAACGGGGUGGUGAUCUGGUUGUCGUUACAGUCAUGUUGGGCUUUCCAUUCCCCAUCACUUCUUGCCCGUCAUCACCAGUCAGGUUACACCUCCCUGCUGAUGAGAGUGCCCCGUUGGCCAGGGAGCACACAUCUCCCAUGGGCCAUUGCGGAGGGAACACACUGACGAAUCUUAGUCCUGCCAAUGUUAACUAUUAUAAUUACCUUUGGGCAUAGAACAUCGAAGAACACAGCACAGAAACAGGCCAUUUGGCCUGCAGUGUUGUGCUGAACCAGCUAAAAAGCAGAUCAAAAACACCCAAACGCUAAUCCCUCCUACCUACACCAUGUCCCUAUCCCUCCAUCUUCCUCACAUCCAUGUGCCUAUCCAAACGACUCUUAAAAGCCUCUAAUGUAUUUGCCUCUACCACAAUACCAGGCAGCACAUCCACCACUCUCUGAGUAAAAAACUUACCCCUUGAAACUCCCCUCCCCCCCUUUUAUUGCAUGGCCCCUGAUAUUAGACAUCUCAACCCUGGGGAACAGAUACUCUCUGUCCACUCUGUCUAUGCUUCUCAUCAUCUUAUAAACCUCUGUCAGAUCUCCCCUCAGCCACCGUCACUGCAGAGAAAACAACCCAAGUUUACCCAGCCUCUCGUGAUAGCGCAUGCCCUCUAAACCAGGCAGCAUCCUGGUAAACCUCUUCUGCACCCACAUCCUUCCUCUCGUGGGGCGACGGGAGGCCUUGUGAGGGCUUCUCUGAAGGGAGGGCGGAAGAGGGUGAAUGAAAAGCCAGUGGUCAAACCGGGUUUCCCCUCCCACCUCCUCUGGAUCAGUUAGAUGCUCGACUUGGUUUACCGUUCAUUAGGAAAGGUAGUGGGGAGCAGUCACAGAUGGCAGGGCUAGGCAGCUGGUCGUGAAGCUGCCCCGCGGCCCCCAGAGAUCCGCAUUCUGCACGGACUUUCCCACCUCCUCCUGGUGCCCGGAUUUCCCAGCUCCCCUGGGUUCCUCUCGCAUCCCAUCGAGGAGCUGGGGAGCUGAAUGAUUGCCGUAAAUUGCCCCUUAGUGCAGGUGGAGGUAGAAAGAGAUCAGAGGGGACUUGAUGAGGGUGUAUGCAAGAGGGAGUGGACUGCGGGGAAAUAUGAGGGGGACUGGGAGUGCUCCCCUGGGUGCCAAUGUGUGAGGGAACCCGUGCCCCAGCUGGGGCAGGUCAGGACUCCCCCAGUACUAUUUAACUUUUGUUACUUGAUCUUAUCGGCUGAUGGUUUGAAACAAAGAGCAGUUUUACAUUGCACUGAUUGAAAAGUUUUUCUUUGAAGUUUGUUGAUAAACCAAGCUUUGUAAAUAAAUUAUUAAUUGGAGUGUCUUUGAGUUUAUCUGAUUAA